rnacentral:rRNA from 1 species
CGGGUGGCGGACGGGUGCGUAACGCGUAGGAAUCUACCUUAUAGUGGGGGACAACUCGAGGAAACUCGAGCUAAUACCGCAUAAUCCUUACGAGGGAAAGCAGGGGAUCUUCGGACCUUGUGCUAUUAGAUGAGCCUGCGUCGGAUUAGCUUGUUGGUAGGGUAAAGGCCUACCAAGGCGACGAUCCGUAGCUGGUCUGAGAGGAUGAUCAGCCACACUGGGACUGAGACACGGCCCAG